rnacentral:rRNA from 1 species
AGCUCCAAUAGCGUAUAUUAAAGUUGUUGCAGUUAAAAAGCUCGUAGUUGGAUUUCGGGGCGGCCUGUCUGGUCCGUCGCGAGACGAGUACUGGUCAGCCGCCCUUCCUCUCGAAAGCCCCGACUGCUCUUAACUGCAGUGGUCGGGUAGUUCGGGACGUUUACUUUGAAAAAAUUAGAGUGUUCAAGGCAGGCUCUGGCCUGAAUACAUUAGCAUGGAAUAAUGGAAGAGGACCUCGGUCCUAUUUUGUUGGUUUCUGGGGCCGAAGUAAUGAUUAAGAGGGACAGUUGGGGGCAUUCGUAUUUAAUUGUCAGAGGUGAAAUUCUCGGAUUUAUGAAAGACGAACAACUGCGAAAGCAUUUGCCAAGGAUGUUUUCAUUAAUCAAGAACGAAAGUACGC